rnacentral:rRNA from 1 species
GACGAACGCUGGCGGCGUGCCUAAUACAUGCAAGUAGAACGCUGAAGAGAGGAGCUUACUCUUCUUGGAUGAGUUGCGAACGGGUGAGUAACGCGUAGGUAACCUGCCUUGUAGCGGGGGAUAACUAUUGGAGACGAUAGCUAAUACCGCAUAACAAUGGAUGACACAUGUCAUUUAUUUGAAAGGGGCAAUUGCUCCACUACAAGAUGGACCUGCGUUGUAUUAGCUAGUAGGUGAGGAAAUGGCUCACCUAGGCGACGAUACAUAGCCGACCUGAGAGGGUGAUCCGGCACAACGGGACUGAAACACGGCCCAGACUCCUACGGGAGGCAGCAGGAGGGAAUCUUCGGCAAUGGGGGCAACCCUGACCGAGCAACGCCGCGUGAGUGAAGGAGGUUUUCGGAUCGUAAAGCUAUGUUGUAAGGGAAGGACGGGUGGGAGGGUGGAAAGUUCACACUGUGACGGUAGCUUACGAGAAAGGGACGGCUAACUACGUG